rnacentral:miRNA from 1 species
UAUAUGUAUAUAUACAUACACACACAUAAAUA